GUGUGUGUGUGAGACCCUGUUCACUGAAACCUGCCGAAGAGAGAAAUCCCUGAAUUGUACGUCAAAAAACUCAACGUCUCACACCCAGCUACAAAACAGUACACAGUAGACUCUCACUUUAGCCAUGAAGGGGAAGAGGAGCAAGGAGAAAAUGGAUAUAGGUCACAGAACGCUGACAAGAUCUGUGGUGAAAGGGUUGGAACCAGAACAAAGAUUCAGUAAGAAUCGAAAUCAAUAAGUAGAAUGGGAAUCAGAUUUGGAAUCGAUAAAAGUAAAAUGAUACCCAACCCUAUCCCUAACCAGGAUGUCCGCUUGGACAGUAGGCUACCUCACACAGGAACACCCAAUGUAAUAAAUAACUGUUUUGUUAAGUUUUACAGAGAGUGAAAUGUCAUUACAUAAAUAACAAUAACAAUAACCUGUGUCAUAUCCAA